rnacentral:sRNA from 1 species
CACAUGGAAAAUAAGCGAGGCCUGGGGGCAACCCCAGAGUCGAGCGGCUUAUGGCUGAGUAACGCGAGGAAGACCUGCCCUUUAGUGGGGAACAACCAGGGGAAACUCUGGCUGAUACCGCAUAAGACCGAGAGGUGAAAGGGGGCUCGCAAGGGCUCUCGCUGAAGGAGGGGUCCGCGUCCGAUUAGCUAGUUGGUAGGGUAAAGGCCUACCAAGUCUGCGAUCGGUAGCACGACUGAGAGGUUGAUCGGCCACAUUGGGACUGAGAUGCGGCCCAGACUCCUACGGGAGGCAGCAGUGGG